rnacentral:rRNA from 1 species
AGCGGCCGAUAUCUGAUUAGCUAGUUGGUGGGGUAAAGGCCUACCAAGGCGACGAUCAGUAGCGGGUCUGAGAGGAUGAUCCGCCACACUGGGACUGAGACACGGCCCAGACUCCUACGGGAGGCAGCAGUGGGGAAUUUUGGACAAUGGGCGCAAGCCUGAUCCAGCCAUGCCGCGUGUCUGAAGAAGGCCUUCGGGUUGU